AGUGGGGAAUUUUCCGCAAUGGGCGCAAGCCUGACGGAGCAAGACCGCGUGAGGGAGGAAGGCUCUUGGGUUGUAAACCUCUUUUAUCAGGGAAGAAGAUCUGACGUUACCUGAUGAAUCAGCAUCGGCUAACUCCGUGCCAGCAGCCGCGGUAAUACGGAGGAUGCAAGCGUUAUCCGGAUUUAUUGGGCGUAAAGCGUCCGCAGGUGGUUUUUCAAGUCUGCUGUUAAAGCGCAGAGCUUAACUCUGUAACGGCGGUGGAAACUGAGAGACUAGAGUAUGGUAGGGGUUGCGGGAAUUCCCAGUGUAGCGGUGAAAUGCGUAGAUAUUGGGAAGAACACCAGCGGCGAAAGCGCGCAACUGGGCCAUUACUGACACUCAUGGACGAAAGCUAGGGGAGCGAAAGGGAUUAGAUACCCCUGUAGUCCUAGCUGUAAACGAUGGGUACUAGGUGUUGACCGUAUCGACCCGGUCAGUGCCGUAGCUAACGCGUUAAGUACCCCGCCUGGGGAGUAUGCACGCAAGUGUGAGACUCAAAGGAAUUGACGGGGGCCCGCACAAGCGGUGGAGU
rnacentral:rRNA from 1 species